CCGGGCCUGGCCUUGUGUGUGAUUUUCAAAGUACAGGAAAUUUCUGGAAGUCAGGAGAAUGGGUGCUGACACAAACAGAGGGCAAAAGGGACUGGAUCUUAAUCAUCUUUUUGUUCCCAGAACCUGACACGCAGGGGCAGGCAUGACUGUCCUUCAUCAUCUUCAUCACCGCUGCUGUUCAUUAAGCAUUCAUUACGUGGCAGGCAAUGUCAACCAAGAUCUUGUGAGUGCCACCUGGCAGAUGAGGAAACUGAGGCACAGAGAGGCAAUGUUACUUGACCAAGGUCACACCUGGGCAGCCUGUUUGUGAAAUGAACCCGUGAACCUAUGCCAGCCCCCGCUUGGUGGAAAUCAGCCAGCAACCGAAAAUGCUUCCAACUUCACGCAGCCCUUCUUGUUGGGGUGGUGACAUUCAGGAUAUCAAUGGCCAUCCGCAAGCAGAACAAGGCCAUUCCGAUUGGGUGCGCUACCUGGGGUGUGUGUGUGAGUGAAUCAGGUAUGCAGCUGGUGGUGAUUCACAGAUUGCUGUGUAAGGAUCCUGAGUAGGAGACACAAGAGAGAAGAAGCUUCCUUUCUCUGUCUCUCUCAGUUGCACAUGUGACCUGUGGCUCCAUCCUCGGUGAGAUGAGUCCCACUUCAAACUUACGUAGCCAACAAACAAGCGAACAAAAACAGGCUACAGAGAAGGAUUUCCUAUCAGUUUUCCUGGAAUCACCAGGAACAUGUUUCAGAUUCUUUACAAAAUCCCCGGAUGUAGUCACCUGUCCGGGACAUGCCAUCAGGAAAGGGAGGUCCACCUUUGGGUCAGGGGCAUGCAGGGAGCUGGGGAGGCUGGCAGCCCCAGAGCCUCUCGAUU
rnacentral:lncRNA from 1 species